AUUCGUCCCAAACAUAUGAAGCACUUAAAGAAAAAGUUCACCCAAAAAGUAAAAUGCUCUCAUCAGAAGAUUUUUAGAAGAAUAUCUCAGCUCUGCUGGUCCAUACAAUGUGAGUGAAUGGUGGCCAGAACUUUGAAUCUCCAAAAGCACAUAAAGUAAAAGUAGUCCAUAUGACUCCAGUGGUUAAAUCCAUGUCUUCAUGGGCAAUAUGAUAGGUCUGGGUGAGAAACAGAUCGAUAUUUAAGUCCUUUUUUACUAUAAAUUCUCCUCUCUGCACAGUAGGUGGCAAUAUGCACAGAGUACAAAUCACCAAAUAUAAAAGAAGAAGAACUCAUAGGAGAGAAGAGAGCACUUAGGAGAGCUGGUGAAAGUGAACAUUUAUAGUAAAAAAAGGACAACUACCAUAUCACUUCUGAAGACAUGGAUUUAACCACUGGAGUCUUAUGGAUUACUUUUAUGUUGCCUGUAUGUGCUUUUUGGAGCUUCAAAGUUCUGGCCACCGUUCACUUGCAAUGAAUGGACCAAAAGAGCUGAGAUACUCUUCUAAAAAUCUUCCUUUUUGUUCUGUAGAAGAACAAAUUCAUACACAUCUGGCAUGGCUGAUGAGAGUAAAUGAUGAGAGAAUUUUCAUUUUGGGUGAACUUUUACUUUAACAAAGGAUGAAGACUUUUUAUGGUGCUCUGGAAAAAGACUGUUUUUCUGAAUCCAAAUUAGUGUAACCUGGAUCAGUUAAAGGAAAUCUGGUCACCUUACUUCAGGAUGUCGAUAAUCUCUCUCUCAUACUCAGCUCGAAAACUGAAUUUCUCUCUACUAGAAUCGCCAUCAAGAUCUGCACCUUUCACAGCGGGUGGAUCAGAGUUGUCUUCAACCCCUGUGGUGCUCCAGGAGUCACGGAAUACUACAUUCACCGCUGAAUGGCAGUGUGUGGAAUUUCUCUCCUGUGGGACAGCGGGCGGGCGAUACAUCUUCGCCGUUUUCACCGCUUCACAAUGAACUAAUUAUUUUGUGGCCUGUGGGCUUCAACGGAAAAUGGCAUUUUGCAAAUGUUUCAACAAGCACAUGAAAACCCUCUGUCUGGCGGGGACGAGUGAUGUUUUACGUACAGCGGCACAUGUUGAGGCUAAUUGUGUUCACUGUGAAUUCAUGAAUUUCAAAAGACGCUUGCUCUCGUCUCAUUUUUCAUUCUGAACGCUGACGCCAUCCCCGUCUCCUCCCGCUAUACUCCUUCUGCGGCUUCCGAGGAACUGCACGAGAGAGGCACGUGAGGACAGGGAAUAGAGCAUGGAGAUUUGAAGAGCAUUUAUCGCCAGCUCGUGCCUUACAUUUCUCCUCUUCUCUACAUCAAGUGUCUUCGACCGUUCUACAAAAGCGCUGUGAUUGCCUGAGCAGAGCCCACGCUGACACAGUGCUCGCCGAGUUUGAUUGUGUUUUUGGUGGGCAUAUAAAAAACUCGAAACGCUUUUCUCUCCGCUUGCUUUAGUUCUAAAAGCCGGUUCCCUCUCCUCCCGCCAUACUCCUGCGGCUCCUGAGGGACCACUCAAGGGAGUCGCAUGAGGACAGGAUAUAGAACACGGAGAACUUGAGUAUGUUUUGUCACCGGCUUGCACCUUGCGUUUCUCUUCUCCAUGUAAAGCGGCUUCACCUGCCCAGCACGGCCAUGAUGUGCGGUGCGCACGAUGCGAUCACGUUCGGCUGAGUUUAUGAUUAGAGGGGUGCUAUGUCACUAACAUUAUCCCUGCCUGGCACACAGCGCUCGUUGAGAUUGAUCGUGUUAUUGCGAGCGCGUAAUACUCAAAUGCUUUGCUCUCGACCUGCUUCUGAGGAAGCUGACGCCGUCCCUCAACUUCCUGUAUCUAGCAAGGAUGGGACACAGAGCACUGAGAAUUUGAGGGUGAUUUUCUCCAGCUUGAGCCUGCGUCCCUCCUCUUCUCCAUAUCCAGCGGCCUCACCUGUUCCAUGGCAAUUGAUGGCUCACUCCGGUACGCUGCAAUAGUUCAUGGUGGUUUAUGUCAGGGAUACUGUGUCUCUGGGCUACAUUAGUGGACAUGUACGUGCAAAGUUGAGACUUUUACCAUAAUUUCUCCCAGUGGGUGGGAAAACGGUAUGAAACAGCGAUGCCUGAAGCUAAAAAAAAAAAAAAACAGUGUUCACCGUGUUGGCGCGCCUCCAUGUUUUGCCGCCGGUGCCAUUCUUCCAGAGAUGCACGAACAGCUUAUUAUGUCUUGAUGUUCUCCCUAUUCAGUGAGAGUUCAAGUCUCUGGCACUGUCACCGUGCUGUGCUCAGCCGGGAACGGAGUGUGUCAUUUCCUCUGUGAUGCAGGAUGGUUCACCCUGUUUAUACUAUGGUUGGCAACACACCAGGAGACGGUCUAUAUUGGUACAGAGUUUUAGGUGUCUCAAUGUCACCUAAUAGCCAUCUCGCUUUCCCCGCCGCUGCAAGCUGGGAACGAGUUAGUACUUUGACACAAGUAAUUUCAAUACUUGUUUGUACUGCUGUUGACACUGUGCCGCAACGCAGAUAUUUUAGGCGCCUCAAUAUCGCCUAAUAGCCCUCUCACUUUCCCUGCUGUCGUGAGCCGGAAAUUAGGUUCAGCUACGUGCUCAAGCAUGACUACGUACUACUAUUCGCAAGGCUGCCACUUCGUUUCAAAGCUGUUAUGUCCUCCACCGUAAUGGUGCAGGAUGCGCCAAUUCUCUGCUCAGAAAUAUUAAAUCUCCUCACAAAAGACACGAUACAGGUGGCAUCAGCAGACGAUGCCCACAGCAGAUUCCACAGCCGCUAUUUUUUAGUUGCCAAAAAGGAUGGAUGAUUAUGUCCCAUUUUGGAUCUGAGAUGCUUGAACCGAGCACUCGCAAGGUUUCCAUUCAAAAUGACUGCUCAGAAACAAAUUCUGUCUAAUGUUUGUCCUAUGGACUGGUUUGUAUUGAUCGACCUGAGAGAUGCUUACUUUCCCGUACACUUAGCCCCUCAUCACAGGCCUUCCUGAGAUUCGCCUUUGAGGGGACUACUUACCACUUCAAAGUCCUGCCUUUCGACUUAUCCCUGGCUCGUCGCACAUUCACGAAAUGUGUCAAUGCUUCGCUGAGGCUGAGCGGCAUUCACGUUAUGAAUUACCUUGACGACUGGUUGCUCUUAGCACAGACGGGAGACGAACUGCUCCAGCACCACCAGGUUGAUAACAUCCUUGGCAUCGCUGUCCUCCUUGGCCAGCACCCACUGCCAGCUGGCGUCAUGGAGCUGCUGGGUGAAGGCAAACGGGCGGCUGACCUCGCUCAGCAUUAAGGAGCGGAAACACUGGCGGUGUUCUUCUGGGCUGCGGCCGACCCAUUGCAAGAUGGGCUUCUUCAGCACCAAGUAGUCCAGGAGGUUGGCGACCGGAAGCUGUUGUGCCGUGAUCUGGGCUUCCCCGGUCAGCAGUGGCAGAAGAUAGACUGCCCACUGUUUCGGCAGCUAUUUCAGAGAUUUGGCUGUGUGCUCAAAGAACUCAAGCUAGGCCUCCGGAUCAUCUUGAGGCCCCAUCUUGCUGAGCAACACAUGGGGGUGCACUGCUGCUGCUGCUUCUGAGGUACUAAGCUCCAUAGCACCCGCCGAUCCUCCUCCUAGGCCCGAAGGAGUACCUCAAAGCACUGUUGCUGCUCUCUCCGAAGCUCCAUGAGGGCUUGGCGUUGGCCCUGGUGGAUGCUGGCAAGGGACCUGAAGACUUCCUCCAGCGGCGACGAUUCCAUGACAGCGUAUCCUUCCUAUAUUCCCCGGUUUCGGCACCAGUGUAACAGAUUCGAGGAUGAGGAAGCGGGAGACAGCGAAUCCAACUCAAAGGUUAAUUUAUUUACAUGCAAACACGUUCGCUUUACUGUGUAAUGGUGAAGCUUAAGACAUACACUCAAAUACAAAUGAUGGCUGCACUGACACACAUGCAGGCUCGGCUCUAUCUCUCACUCUGAGGUCUGGCCCCUUUUAUUUCCCCUGUCUCUCACUGUGAACAAAGAAAAAGCAAUUACCAGCAAUUCAUCUUAGGUGAAAACCCUUACCGCAUCCUCUCCCCAGACGAAUGCUCAACCACACCCUCGCCUCCACAGUAGUCAUUUGCAUAAUUUAUUCAAACUGCAGGGGGCUGAAGUUUUGCUUGCUGAAUAAUGCUCAUGCCUGAUAAAAAUGCAGAAAAUAAGCCAUGAAAAAUAUUACUUGAGUUUUUGAGGUUUAUUUUGUUUAAAGGAUUGCAGAAUCAGCGCUUGUCAAAGCAUAGGGCUUUUCACCUUUUCUCAAGAAUAAUCUGGGGAAGGAAUUAAAACACUGCAGAUAUAAAGAUGCAACAAACUCACUUAGAGUGAAAAUAUGAGCAGUUAAUCUGCAAAAUAUCUGCAAAGUUCUACACUUUAAGAGAUAUGUUUAUUUUGUUUUACAUGUAUGUAUAUUUGUUUAUAUUUAUAUAUGUACAUAUUCUGGCCAAUUUUUUCAUUGAUUUUUUUAAAUAAACAUUUACAGAUAGUAAUUGAUAUGAAAUUUUAAGCAUUGUCAUCAGUGUCCUGUUGUGUGACACUUUCUUCAUCUAACUAUUUUAUACAAUAUUUUAUGAUCUUGUACAGCUAUAUAUACAUAUAUAAUAUAUUAUUAUUAUACUUUUUGUUUCCACAACCUCAUAUUAACUAAGACAAUAGUUUAUUUGCACUUCUUGAAAAAAGUUGAAAGGUGAUAAAGAUCUUUAAAACUUUGAAGAAAUGCUGACUUGUCACAGCACCUAAAAUACACACUUUCCCUUUUACUAUCAUGUACAUUUUGUCAUGGCUCCGGUGAGUUAGCCGGUUUAUUCUGUUGUUUUGUUUUCCUCUCUCCCUCAUGUCUCGCAGGUGGAGCCGGUAUGCAUGAUCAGUGUUUUCAUGGGAACGUUGAUCAUUCUGGGGGAAGCACUGAUCAUGCCACUGAUUAAUGUGUGAGCUACACCUGUUCCACUCUGAUUGCACUAACUACUUAAUCCUUGUGUGCCCUCACCAUCUUAGAUUAUUGCUUGUUCUGUCAAGUGGCUAACCUUGCUCUCUUUGUCUAGUUGGUGUUGUCUCGUGUAUCUGUUGGUUGUCUGUCUCUGCCCGCAUGUUGGGAAGUGUGGUUACCUUCCAGUUUGCCAUAUGCCUGUCCUCCCCACCCAUGAAUCGCCAGUGGAGGAUUCUUCGUCCCUGCCCGCGUGUUGGGAAUAUGACUGCUUUCCUUCAUCCAGGCUUUGCCCUCUGCACCACGCUUCAACGGACUCUUCCUUCGGAUCUGCUCCUGACUUCCACAAUACAUACACCUGUCUACGAACACACUCAUCCUUUGCCUGCUGCGUGGCCACAACACCCACACAGACUUCUUCUUCGCCUCCUGCUACUGCAGCCACUGCUGGGAUUUCUAUUAAUCUCCAUUACAGUUUAUGUUGACAUUUGUUGUUAAUAAAUCCUUUAAACUGUUCUUCUGCUAUUGGGUCAUUGUCUCACUCACUCUGACACAUUUUAACCUAAAAUCUGUAUGUUGGGAAAAAGUUUUUGGACAUAUUAUUUGGCUGAGCUAUAAAGUGCUUAUUUUAGUGCUUUCUCUAGAAAAUCCACUCAUCACAUUUACAGUGGUUUUAUGUUUUAAAGUUAUGUCAGUUUUUGCACUGGUGGGGCCCAUUGUCAUGACUAGCAGUCAAUAAAAAUGUCUUUUUUUUUUCAACACCAAAAUUUUAAAUUGAGCCAGAAAAUGAAAUCAGUGAGCUGGUGUGGUGUGUUACGGGCUGGGUUUGGUGGGCCACUCUGGGCCAGAAAGUCCAGAGCCACUUUUUAGACCCAGUCCGCCCCAGGUGGAGUGUAAUGGUAGCCAGAUGGUACGUGAUGUGCAGUGUGUGUAAACCUCAAUCCCCUGGCAUCAAGAGAUGCACUAGCAACUGACACUAGAGACUUUAGCCUCAUUGAUAGCAUGCCCACUUCCCAUGCUGGAGACCCCAGUUCAAAUCCUGCUUGGAGCAGGUUGAGCAAGACCAGUUACAGAAGCACCAAGUCACACCCACUGAUGAUGUGGAUCAACAAUAGUAAAAUGUUAAUAGGUAUGAAGUUUUCCUGAAAGUUCACACUGGCAAGCUGUUUCAAACCACUGCUCCAAACUUCAAAACACCUUCUUUUUGACCGAAUUUUGUCCGAAAUGACAUCAUCCCUGAUAUUUCUUUGAUUUAGCUAGAAGUAAAGACUAUUGUCUAUUUAUAAAACUAUACUUAUAAAAAUACACUUCUAUUUAAAGACCCUAUGAAAUUGCUUGAUGUGGCAGCAGGGGCGUGGUCAAGUAUCCGUCCAGAGAGAGAGAAAGCGGUAAGGGCGCUUGCACCUGAGCUAGAUUAUGUGUAAAACCUGUCUCUAAUUCUAGUGAGCAUGGGGAGAGUGGCACAUAAGUAACCACGCCACCAGCAGAGAUAGAGAGAAAGUCUGGCGCAAGGAAGGCCAUGGUGCUCCUGAAGCUGUUGCAUUUAAUCUGUUGUGUUUUGUGAAGCUAAUGUGUUUAAAAGUCUACAUGCCUGUGAACCUGAUGAGUUUGUAAAGUUGUGAAGCAUUGAAGUGGCCGAUUAAAAGUCUUACCUGAGCUUGGAAAACACGCUUCCCUGUGUUCUUCUGUGAAGCUGUGUUACACUGGUGCCGAAACCCGGGAAUCAAGAUCAAAGAUGGUAAGCCUCAUGGAGUCUUCACCAUUGGCCGAGGUCCUCAAGUCCCUCGCCGGUCUACACCACUCCCACCAACAGGCCCUGCUUGAGCUCUGACAGGACCAAGAUCGUUGAUUCCAUAAGAUCCUCAGAGCUCAGGCAGAGGAACGGCAGGCCAUCCGGAGCCUCCUAAGUCAGGGGAAAGCCCCGGCUGUGACCCUGGACAACAGUAACCCCAUGCCCCCGCACAUCAUGAAGAUGGGGGCAGAGGAUGACCCAGAAGCCUUCCUGGACCUUUUUGAGCAGACUGCUGAGAUCUGGGGCUGGCUGCAAGCUCAAUGGGUGGCCCGGCUUGUUCCUUUGUUGUCCGGGGAGCCCCAACUCGCAGCCCAACAACUACCGGCAGUUAGUCUCCUGGACUACAGUGUCCUAAGGAAGUCCAUACUGCAACGGGUUGGCAGAAGUCCAGAACAGUACAGGCAGCUCUUCCGGUCCAUGGAAUUGGAAAAGUCCGGCCGCCUGUUUGCCUUCUGCCAACGACUUCGAGGCACCUGCCGAAAAUGCUGCUGGCGGGGGACCGCGGUGUCGAGGGAAUUUUCGACCAGGUGGCGCUGGAGCAGCUGAUCCGUCGACUGCCAGAGAGGAUGGCAGAAUGGGUCCAGUGUCACCGCCCGGCAUCACUGAAGGAAGCAGUCCAAUUGGCGGAGGACCAGAUGACGGCAUACCCGAGGGUGGAAGAGCCCUCCCACUCUCUCUCCACUCCCUCUAUGUUUUCCCCAUUCUCUUCCCCCUCCCCUCAUCUCUCUCUCAUUCUGCUCUCU